GUAACAGGUCCUUCCGGAUGCUGACGAGUGGCGAACGGGUGAGUAAUACAUCGGAACGUGCCUAGUAGUGGGGGAUAACUACCCGAAAGAGUGGCUAAUACCGCAUGAGAUCUACGGAUGAAAGCAGGGGAUCGCAAGACCUUGUGCUACUAGAGCGGCCGAUGGCAGAUUAGGUAGUUGGUGGGAUAAAAGCUUACCAAGCCGACGAUCUGUAGCUGGUCUGAGAGGACGAUCAGCCACACUGGGACUGAGACACGGCCCAGACUCCUACGGGAGGCAGCAGUGGGGAAUUUUGGACAAUGGGCGCAAGCCUGAUCCAGCAAUGCCGCGUGCAGGAUGAAGGCCUUCGGGUUGUAAACUGCUUUUGUACGGAACGAAAAGCCCUGGGUUAAUACCCUGGGGUCAUGACGGUACCGUAAGAAUAAGCACCGGCUAACUACGUGCCAGCAGCCGCGGUAAUACGUAGGGUGCGAGCGUUAAUCGGAAUUACUGGGCGUAAAGCGUGCGCAGGCGGUUUUGUAAGACAGAGGUGAAAUCCCCGGGCUCAACCUGGGAACUGCCUUUGUGACUGCAAGGCUAGAGUACGGCAGAGGGGGAUGGAAUUCCGCGUGUANCAGUGAAAUGCGUAGAUAUGCGGAGGAACACCGAUGGCGAAGGCAAUCCCCUGGGCCUGUACUGACGCUCAUGCACGAAAGCGUGGGGAGCAAACAGGANUANAUACCCUGNUANUCCACGCCCUAAACGAUGUCAACUGGUUGUUGGGUCUUAACUGACUCAGUAACGAAGCUAACGCGUGAAGUUGACCGCCUGGGANUACGGCCGCANGUUNAAACUCNNNGAAUUGACGGGNCCCGCNCA
rnacentral:rRNA from 1 species